UACGUAGGUGGCAAGCGUUGUCCGGAAUUUAUUGGGCGUAAAGCGCGCGCAGGCGGUCCUUUAAGUCUGAUGUGAAAGCCCACGGCUCAACCGUGGAGGGUCAUUGGAAACUGGGGGGACUUGAGUGCAGGAGAGAAGAGUGGAAUUCCACGUGUAGCGGUGAAAUGCGUAGAGAUGUGGAGGAACACCAGUGGCGAAGGCGCUCUUUGGCCUGU
rnacentral:rRNA from 1 species